UUGGAAAGAAAUCCAUUGGAAAUCAUGGGAACGUCAUGGAAGUUAAUGAAGUGGAUCGUCUCGGUUCUAGAGGGCGACCUGGGUUUUACAGAGUUACCCUGAAGAUUUCUGUUGUGGGAAAAUACCCGGGAAGUGACAGAGCCAAGCCAGUCAUUACUGGAGGCACGUCGAGGAAAAGACAAGACUGACUGACACACCAACCACUGAGAAACCAGUAUUCUUCAAUGACACCCUCCUUCAGUCUUUGGAUGUGGGCUGCUGCAGAAAGGAGGCAUGUGGCCUUGGCAAGGCAACUCUCUUCAGUCAAGACAAAUAUUGCAAAGAGCUGACAGCUGUGGAAAAAGGACCACGGCUGAGUCCAUGGAACCAGAGGACACACUGUAAUCCAGACAUGAGACUGAGCUCCAUUUAUCACUCAGUGUCAUAUGCCUCCACUCUAACAGAGGGCUCAUAUUGAUGCUUCAAUCCCUGUGUAUCACUGUCAACUCGGACCUUGUGUCAAUACUCUCGAAUAUUAGUAUUCUCUUUUCCUCCCAACAAAAUUAUUACCUGAGUAAAUGUUUGUGGAUUCCUUUGGGGAAGUACUGGAGGAACUAUUAUUGGUUAACUCAUGGUGGUUGCAGAAUCCUUCCUCCUGGGUACCCAACCUCUCCUUCAGUCAGUGGGUUCUGGGUUUGAAAACUGACUCAUAUGUGGAACUGGUGAGAAGUCAUGACUUUUUGUUGAGGCAACUGCCUUCAGCAUCUUAAUCAUACUCCGUUGAUUUCUUUUGGUCACAUAGAUUAUUUUCCUUGUUGCUGACUCAUCUAUUUUGCUCCUAGUGAUAUGAAGUUGUGUUAACUACCUCCGUCAUUCUCUGUGGGCCUGGUUCCCCAGCUGCUCCUCUGUCCUCGCCUUUCAUUAUGAUAAAUUCUAUCCACCUGGCUUCUGAGGGUUAAACAAUACCACCUGCAGUUAUAGUUCUGGGAUCCUAUCAUCCCCGUUGCUAUCAGGGGGCCCAGCUCUGUAAUGUCGUCUCCUAUGAUCAGCCCUAAC
rnacentral:lncRNA from 1 species